UACGGAGGGGGCUAGCGUUGUUCGGAAUUACUGGGCGUAAAGCGCACGUAGGCGGCUUUGUAAGUUAGAGGUGAAAGCCCAGGGCUUAACCCUGGAAUUGCCUUUAAGACUGCAUCGCUAGAAUCGUGGAGAGGUAAGUGGAAUUCCGAGUGUAGAGGUGAAAUUCGUAGAUAUUCGGAAGAACACCAGUGGCGAAGGCGACUUACUGGACACAUAUUGACGCUGAGGUGCGAAAGCGUGGGGAGCAAACAGG
rnacentral:rRNA from 1 species